CCAAUAGCGUAUAUUAAAGUUGCUGCAGUUAAAAAGCUCGUAGUUGAAUUUCGGGAUCAAUAUGUUGGUCGUGCCUUGGUACGUACUAGCUUAUUGGUUUCUCCCUUCUGACGAACCAUGAUGUCAUUAAUUUGGUGUCAUGGGGAAUCAGGACUGUUACUUUGAAAAAAUUAGAGUGUUUAAAGCAGGCUCGCGCUUGAAUACAUUAGCAUGGAAUAAUGAAAUAGGACAUUUGAUUCUAUUUUGUUGGUUUCUAGGAUCGAUGUAAUGAUUAAUAGGGAUAGUUGGGGGCAUUAGUAUUCAAUUGUCAGAGGUGAAAUUCUUGGAUUUAUUGAAGACUAACUACUGCGAAAGCAUUUGCCAAGGAUGUUUUCAUUAAUCAAGAACGAAAGUUAGGGGAUCGAAGACGAUCAGAUACCGUCGUAGUCUUAACCAUAAACUAUGCCGACUAGGGAUCGGAUGAUGUUAAUUUUUUAAUGACUCAUUCGGCGCCUUACG
rnacentral:rRNA from 1 species